rnacentral:rRNA from 1 species
CCUACGGGUGGCUGCAGUGGGGAAUAUUGGACAAUGGGCGAAAGCCUGAUCCAGCCAUGCCGCGUGUGUGAAGAAGGCCUUCGGGUUGUAAAGCACUUUCAGUGGGGAAGAAAGCCUUGGGGCUAAUACCCUCGAGGAAGGACAUCACCCACAGAAGAAGCACCGGCUAACUCCGUGCCAGCAGCCGCGGUAAUACGGAGGGUGCGAGCGUUAAUCGGAAUUACUGGGCGUAAAGCGCGCGUAGGCGGUCUGAUAAGCCGGUUGUGAAAGCCCCGGGCUCAACCUGGGAACGGCAUCCGGAACUGUCAGGCUAGAGUGCAGGAGAGGAAGGUAGAAUUCCCGGUGUAGCGGUGAAAUGCGUAGAGAUCGGGAGGAAUACCAGUGGCGAAGGCGGCCUUCUGGACUGACACUGACGCUGAGGUGCGAAAGCGUGGGUAGCAAACAGGAUUAGAUCCCGAGUAGUC